AAAGGGGAUUUCGACGUAAGAUCGAUCGCGAUCCUUCAUGCUGUUGUGUUUUCACCGAUCAUAGUAGCAGACGUCUCUCGUGAUUUGUUGGGACAUAUGCGAAGGAGACAUUAUAUUGACCAAACGUAGCUGCUAGAAAUUCAAUGAAGACAGUACGCGAAAAGAUGAGUUUUAAAAUACGCUUGAUAUUCGUACUUGUUACCAUCAGCAUGUUUAGGCAUGAGACACUAGCACUUGUGCCGCAUUGGAAAGCAUGGAGGAUGCCUAGAAGAUGUUUUUAUGACUUAGAUCAUGGUUAUUGCUCUGACUAUGAAAGGAAUAAUGAAACAAGGUUUUGGUUUAAUAUGUACAAUGGAACAUGUGUACCUUUUACAUACUCGGGUUGUGAAGGAAAUGAAAAUAAUUUUUAUAUUUAUGAAAAUUGUAUGUAUGUAUGCCGGGGCAGAUAAAUACCUUUCGCAAGUUCUAAAUUUAAAUAAUUUUUACAAUUGAUAAGUAUUUGAUAAGUAUUUUAAUAAUAGUUUGAUAUUACUAAGUUUCAAUACAAUUACUAAAUAAAAACUUUGUGGUCUU